rnacentral:ncRNA from 1 species
CAAAGGGGUGCUUGCCUGGUUGGGCGGCUGAGAUUAUACCCUGUGAACCUGAUGCAGGUAAUGCUGCCGAAGGGAUUGUGC